rnacentral:ncRNA from 19 species
CCCGAUGAAGAACUACUCCCGCCUGAAGUGUGAUGAGCCACCUACCGGCGGAGG